AAUGAACGUUGGCGGCGUGGAUUAGGCAUGCAAGUCGUACGCAUAGCUUCGGCUAUGAGUGGCGCAAGGGUGAGUAAUGCGAAGGUAACCAACCCUGGUGUUGGGCAUAGCCGCGGGAAACUGCGGGUAAUUCCCAGCGACGUCACGAGAUGGCAUCAUCUUGUGACCAAAGGUGUGAUUCCGCUCUAGGACGGGCCUUCGUGGUAUUAGGUAGUUGGUGAGGUAACGGCCCACCAAGCCGACGAUGCCUACCGGUGUGAGAGCAUGACCCGGCACACUGGAACUGAGACACUGUCCAGACACUUACGGGUGGCUGCAGUCGAGAAUCUUCGGCAAUGGGCGAAAGCCUGACCGAGCGACGCCGCGUGAGGGAUUGAAGGCC
rnacentral:rRNA from 1 species